AGCAUAGGCAACUGGGGCAUCUACAAAGGAAGGCAGUUAGAAGACUUUCAAGCUUUCUUUUUCAGCAGGGCUCAUCUGGCAGCUGGCUGGAGUUAGUAGGAGAUGAGAGAGGUAUAUGAGAAGAAAAUGCUGGAAACUGGUGUUAUUAACUUAAAUGGAAUGUUUGAUGUUUCAAAACAUCCAGAACUUUUGGGUAAGAUGGAAAAAUUUUUGAAGCCUGGACAAACAGGAGCUUUACAACUUUCAGAGAAGAGGAGUACUCAUGGAGUACUCAUAGUACCAUUGACACUAGCUGGGAAGCAUCUGGCUGAGUAGCAGCCCUCACCAGAAGGACUUAGAGGUUAUGAUGGAUAUUAUGUUGAAGAUGUGCUGACAGUGCACUGUCACAGGAAAUAAGGCAAAUAGCAGCAAUCUUCAUUAGAAGGAAAGUAGCCAAAUGCUUUAAGAAUGCUAGGUGUAAGAAUGUAUUCCAGCAGGGUUACAAAUGCUUGGUCUCUGCAAUGUUCUUCCUCAGGCCACCUUAGAUGCUUUAUUGUUCUGAUGCAAACAACACUGUGGCUUUGUUCAUGUAAAGACAUGGGGUAAUAAGAUCAAAGCUAUCUUGGGUACCAUUCUAUAGGUUCCAAUUACACCUCUGGUUGAAGCGCAGACAGAUAUUUAUAUCUUGAUUUGCUUCUGGAAGUUCCCUCCUCUUCCUCUCCCACUCCCACCCUGCAGCUCAGUGUCUGAAGUCAACCUCAGCUAAAUACCAGAAGGCCCCAGAAAUGUGAGCCAGCUGCUCAGAUGCUCAGAGAAAUGACCUGAGAAGAAAGAGCCAGGUGACACAUCCCAGGAAAUGGAUCCUGUCCUAAAAGGAACAUGCAUUCAUCAUUCAGAUAACUUCUGCCACUGAAAAGCCAUCUGGAUAAACAAGGAAAGAGUUACACAACCGUUGCACAGAUCCUCAUCCCUUCCUGUCCACUUGUAGAAAGGCAGAUGAGCUAAACAAGGCUUCAUCUGUGGGCAGAGAGGAGAAUGGGAGACCGUAGGGGAGAAAGCACAGCCUGGAAUUCCUGAGGCCAGCAGUAAGGACAGCAAGUGCUGUGCUUCUGUCAUCAAAUCCUUUGUGUCAUGCACAAUACUCAUAACUGGAAGUUAGGCAGUGAAGACCUCAGAACAACACAGUUGUGUCACCAGGAGAAAAUGGAAACUUGGAUCCUCAGAACAAUACCUGCAGAAUCUCAUUUUCCUCCAGCUUCUCCACUUCUAAACAAGGCAUUGCUAAGUGCCAUCACAGGAUCCAUCUUCUUCCUACACCUCAAACACACCACUGCCCAGGUAGCAAGUCUCCAUUGCAAGAGCUGGUCAUCAGCUGACCACCCUGCAUUACCUGUCCUCACUCGGAAGCCCUGUGCCCCCUCAUUCCUCCCAGAUGCCUCUCCUUCUGCUCUCCAGCAGGUGCCAAGAUCUUUCCAGAUCUUUCCCUUGUGCUCCAUGUCUUCCAGAAGAAAGGAGAAAGUUGGAGGUAGCUGAUGACUUGGGGAGGCAAGACAGUCUGAAAUUCAGUAGAUACCAUUGGAGCACUGUGAUAAUUUUCUACAAAGUCAGAAUGGAGAAGGAAUAAAUUAUUGCUAAAGAUUCACAGGCUGACAAGAACCUUAUCAGGAAGCAAUUGGAAGACAUUUUCAUUAGUGUUACCAUUUAUAGCUGUAAAUAAUAGGAGAAGCGUUAACCAAAGAAAGCCUAUUGUCACCUGCCUCCAGAGACAAGAGAAAUCUUUGAGGAAGAGCCGUGUACAGUGCUGUUUUUCCAGUUUGGAGGGGUCAACACAGAAAUCUGACUGGUAGCGUCAAAAACUGAAUGAAACAUGUACCCCUCAAAAAACAAGAAGAAAUGGUGUAUUGCAGAGACUUCAUUCCCCCUCACUUAAGAGGAAAAGCUAUAGGUCAGACUGGGAAGUCAUAGCAAUCUGUGUGUAUUCACAGACUGAGCUGAAUCCCUCAUAAAUAGUGGAAUAUCAUCUGGGAGAAAGUCCGUUAUGAGAACAGUCUUGGAAGCUAGCUAGAAUAUGGCAAAUCUACGGAGCAGCUGAGAUAACAAGAACACACGCAGGAGAGUUAAGGGCAGAAGGAAAUGGGUGUACAGUGUGUGUCAUAAAUUACAAAAGGAGAGUAAGCAGGGUGUGCAUGGGAGACUGAAUGCUGUGAGCAAAGGUCAGGACCAAACACUGAAAUGAAAAGGUACACGUGUGAUGCAGCAGAAGCUGUAACCUAACUCGUUUGUAGGAAAAUUCACAAGGAGAUGGGAAAGGAAAUAUUUUUAUUUACUUUUUUGUCUUCCCUGCCAAAUACUGCGGGUCAUUAGCUGGGACAAGCUGUUGGUAACAGAGCAGGCUCUCCAGAGACCAAGUUCUUACAUCCCAUCUCUGAGGCUGCCAGUUAAAGUUGAGGCAUCUCAGAGAGUCACAUCAUCUACAGAGACCAGCAUUCCCCAUAGGACUGGCCUGAGAUGCCUGGCUGCAGUGCCAGAAGCAAGCUGGGAUUGUUUCUCAUCACGGAACUGAAAGCAGCAGGAUUUAAGGGAAAUAAGAAGGCAAAGGCUGGCCUGUUUGAUUCAGAUAGUCCCUUCUAGCAUAAAGGGAGUUGCUAUAGACAAUUCCAACUUAUGGCAUGAGCUCUCCUCUGAGCACUUCUAGAGAGGCAUUUAAAUCCCUGCUCUACACGCAUGCUGCAAAAGACAUGGAUCAGACCCAGGGAUGUCUGUCCUGUUUCAGUAUUCUAAGUGCAGGUUCCUCCCCCAGUGCUCAGGGAAGGGCUGUGCAGUGGCAGAGCCAUAAUUUACAGAUGAUGAUGUGGGCUUCAGUCUUUAUUUUUGCUGUUCAAAUCCUCUGUGUCCUGUGACUUUGUUCCUCAUUCAUGAACAGUGAAAAAUAUCACUUCCUUGUUCUGAAGAAGAGAAUAGCUUGAGAUAUGAUGCUGCAUCUGUAGAUGCCAUGGAAUACUGCAGCUGUGAAAUAUGGCUUUGUUCUUGCAUAAAAGAUACGCAUGCAAUAUUACUUGCACAAGGAGAAUGAACCUGAAGCAUGAGCUCAACUGCUGAAUUUCAAGGAAAGAAAUCUGCGUGACAUCCCGAAGUCCUGUAUGAUUCCAUCCCACUCCCCAUCCCCACCAUGCUGCUUGACAUGUUUAAAAUCUCCAGAGAUCCUCCUUUAAGAUACGAGUGUUUCCCAUUGUGCUAGCUUUUAUUAGAUUUCGGGUGCCAUUCAGUUAACCCCCCCCUCAGCCACUUGAAUUCUUGAA